rnacentral:lncRNA from 1 species
CAAAAGGAUAAUGGGCCACCAAAGCACAUGGGCUUGUGGCGCCCAUUACCCAAAGGAUGUGACGCUCGCCAUAUUGGGCCACAAGGGAGGUGGCGCCCACUACCAAUCCUUGAAAAGUGGGGUGGCAUUUGCUACAAGAGUGCCGCUCGCUACUCAUCAUGGAUUUAGGGUUGUGGCAACCGCCACAACCAAGUCUCCCAACUAUCCCUACUUUUUCGCCCCCUUUUUAGCCACGUUUUCCACCACUCUUGCUACAUUUGAG